GAUUGAACGCUGGCGGUAUGCUUAACACAUGCAAGUCGAACGGAAACGAUACUAGCUUGCUAGUAGGCGUCGAGUGGCGGACGGGUGAGUAACGCGUAGGAAUCUGCCUGAUAGUGGGGGAUAGCCCGAAGAAAUUCGGAUUAAUACCGCAUAAUCUAUUCGUAGUAAAGUGGGGGACUUUCGAGCCUCACGCUAUCAGAUGAGCCUGCGUAAGAUUAGCUUGUUGGUAGGGUAAAAGCCUACCAAGGCGACGAUCUUUAGCUGGUCUGAGAGGAUGAUCAGCCACAUCGGGACUGAGACACGGCCCGAACUCCUACGGGAGGCAGCAGUGGGGAACAUUGGACAAUGGGGGCAACCCUGAUCCAGCAAUACCGCGUGUGUGAAGAAGGCCUGAGGGUUGUAAAGCACUUUCAAUUGUGAAGAAAAGUUAGCGGUUAAUAACCGUUAGCCUUGACGUUAACUUUAGAAGAAGCACCGGCUAACUCCGUGCCAGCAGCCGCGGUAAUACGGAGGGUGCAAGCGUUAAUCGGAAUUACUGGGCGUAAAGCGUGCGUAGGCGGUUUAUUAAGCCAGAUGUGAAAGCCCCGGGCUUAACCUGGGAACUGCAUUUGAAACUGGUCAACUAGAGUAUGGUAGAGGAAAGUGGAAUUUCUGGUGUAGCGGUGAAAUGCGUAGAUAUCAGAAGGAACAUCAAUGGCGAAGGCAGCUUUCUGGACCAAUACUGACGCUGAGGUACGAAAGCGUGGGUAGCAAACAGGAUUAGAUACCCUGGUAGUCCACGCCGUAAACGAUGAUAACUAGCCGUUGGGGGGAUUUACCCCUUAGUGGCGAAGCUAACGCGUUAAGUUAUCCGCCUGGGGAGUACGGCCGCAAGGUUAAAACUCAAAGGAAUUGACGGGGACCCGCACAAGCGGUGGAGCAUGUGGUUUAAUUCGAUGCAACGCGAAGAACCUUACCUGGUCUUGACAUCCUGCGAACUUUCUAGAAAUAGAUUGGUGCCUUCGGGAACGCAGUGACAGGUGCUGCAUGGCUGUCGUCAGCUCGUGUCGUGAGAUGUUGGGUUAAGUCCCGUAACGAGCGCAACCCCUAUCCUUAUUUGCCAGCACAUCAUGGUGGGAACUAUAAGGAGACUGCCGGUGAUAAACCGGAGGAAGGCGGGGACGACGUCAAGUCAUCAUGGCCCUUACGACCAGGGCUACACACGUGCUACAAUGGGAAGGACAAAGAGCCGCGAAGCCGCGAGGUGUAGCUAAUCUCAUAAACCUUUUCGUAGUCCGGAUUGGAGUCUGCAACUCGACUCCAUGAAGUCGGAAUCGCUAGUAAUCGUAGAUCAGAAUGCUACGGUGAAUACGUUCCCGGGUCUUGUACACACCGCC
rnacentral:rRNA from 1 species